rnacentral:lncRNA from 1 species
CUCAGUGUUGGUGGAGUGUCGGGGUUCGUUGGCGCGCUUGACUCGCGUAAAUACGUGCGUCGAAUCAGCUGUCAGAAAGGUGGAGGCAAGGGCAGGCAUGAGGAUGUAAACGCAACAACGGCAUAACAACAGUCGGUGGAAUUUAUAUUUAGUAUUGCGAGGGCAGAAAAAGUCUCCUUUCACAAAAACAGCAGCACGAUACAACGUCAGUUUAGGAGAGCGAGGCGCGCAUCAGAACGGAAUCAGUAGCUCAGCAUCUGCUUCUCCGGUGACCGACGAGCUCUAAAGCGAGACUAUUCAUAUUAAUACCACCGCCGACAUAUCUGUUUAUCUGCGGGCUCUGCAUUCAUUACCGUGAAGUCAUCUAGCGGUUAGUGUGCAGGCACUAACAGACUGCAUUUGUGAAUGGUUCUGUGGGCCUGCUUUGAACGGAUGUUUUUUUUCCUUCGCUAACGUCGCAGUGAACUGCACCAUGUAUAGCGAAGCGCUUUCUCAUCAUCGUGCUCCGCGCGGAGGCUGAGUGGGGAUGAGGAUGUUGUUUACCAAAAGCAGCCAGCCGUCAGCGCACUGAUGCUCGGUCUCCUCGCACACCAUUUUUCAUCUAAUCUUUUAUGACACGGUUGGAAAUGACUGUCACCUCCGUCUUUCCUCUUUGAAGAGGGCAAUGUCAUCGUAAGCAGACCGGCGUGGAUUUGUUGUGGUCUGAUUUUACUAUUGUCCGCUGCGAUUCGACUUCUCACCGUUUAUAUAACAGGGACGGGGGAAAGCUUUAAAGUCCCUCCCCCUGCUCCUAAUUGGUCCUCUAUACCAUGAGCUCUGGCUCCGCCCAGGAUGUGGCGGUGGAGAAUUUCCUGCGUGACAUAGAGAGGCGGGGCCAGUGGCUGCACUGCGCUGUUAUUGGCUGUGAGGAGGAGCAUUCCUGUGGCGACAUGAACCUUUUGUACCGCAAAAGUCGACUGGAUUGGAGACACAGAGAUCAGGAGGGCAAGAAAAGAUUAUACCUGGGCGACAGCUGUACUGUGAGAUCUCCAUGGCCAACUCAUACGCUGUGUGCCCUGUCUGCGCAUCAUAUCCUGUGGUGCAGUUCUUUUCUGUUAAUGUGUGUCACACUCUACUAGCUCAGCAUCUUCUCUGCCUUCUGCCUGACAACAAAGACUCACACACACUGCUGAACAGUGUAUUGAUGAGUUGCUUCCAUCUGGACCUUGUGCACAUCAACCUUCAUAAAGGUCAGAGGAGGGGAGCACAGUGAUCUCUAGACAAUAUUUACACAUCUUAAAAGUUAACAGGAAGAAGUUUGUGAAUUUUUAAUAUGACACUUAUGCUCAGAGGAAGAAAAAAAAUCACAAUGUAAUGAAAGGAGACUUUUGGUUAAGUAUCUUGCUUCCCAG